GAUGAACGCUGGCGGCAGGCCUAACACAUGCAAGUCGAACGGUAACAGGAAGAAGCUUGCUUCUUUGCUGACGAGUGGCGGACGGGUGAGUAAUGUCUGGGAAACUGCCUGAUGGAGGGGGAUAACUACUGGAAACGGUAGCUAAUACCGCAUAACGUCGCAAGACCAAAGAGGGGGACCUUCGGGCCUCUUGCCAUCGGAUGUGCCCAGAUGGGAUUAGCUAGUAGGUGGGGUAACGGCUCACCUAGGCGACGAUCCCUAGCUGGUCUGAGAGGAUGACCAGCCACACUGGAACUGAGACACGGUCCAGACUCCUACGGGAGGCAGCAGUGGGGAAUAUUGCACAAUGGGGGAAACCCUGAUGCAGCAACGCCGCGUGAGUGAAGAAGUAUUUCGGUAUGUAAAGCUCUAUCAGCAGGAAAGAAAAUGACGGUACCUGACUAAGAAGCCCCGGCUAACUACGUG
rnacentral:rRNA from 1 species